rnacentral:rRNA from 1 species
CCUACGGGAGGCAGCAGUGAGGAAUUUUCCGCAAUGGGCGAAAGCCUGACGGAGCGAUACCGCGUGUAGGAAGAAGGCCCUUGGGUUGUAAACUACUGUCGACGGGGAAGAAAAAAUGACGGUACCCGUAAAGGAAGCACCGGCUAACUCUGUGCCAGCAGCCGCGGUAAGACAGAGGGUGCAAGCGUUGUCCGGAUUUAUUGGGCGUAAAACGUCUGUAGGCGGUUCAUUAAGUCUGAAGUCAAAUUGUUUAGCUCAACUAGACCUCGCUUUAGAUACUGAUGAGCUUGAGUGUGCUAGAGGUUAGUGGAAUUCCCGGUGUAGUGGUAAAAUACGUAGAUAUCGGGAGGAACUCCAGAGGCGAAAGCGGCUAACUGGGGCACAACUGACGCUGAGAGACGAAAGCGUGGGGAGCAAAAAGGAUUAGAUACCCUUGUAGUCCACGCCGUAAACGAUGAGUACUAGAUGUUGCAAGAUCGACCCUUGCAGUGUCGUAGCUAACGCGUUAAGUACUCUGCCUGGGAAGUAUGCUCGCAAGAGUGAAACUCAAAGGAAUUGACGGGG